rnacentral:rRNA from 1 species
GACGGGGGGGGCAAGUGUUCUUCGGAAUGACUGGGCGUAAAGCGCGCGUAGGCGGCUUUGUAAGUCAGAGGUGAAAUCCUGGAGCUUAACUCCAGAACUGCCUUUGAGACUGCAUCGCUUGAAUCGUGGAGAGGUAAGUGGAAUUCCGAGUGUAGAGGUGAAAUUCGUAGAUAUUCGGAAGAACACCAGUGGCGAAGGCGACUUACUGGACACGUAUUGACGCUGAGGUGCGAAAGCGUGGGGAGCAAACAGG